rnacentral:lncRNA from 1 species
GCAUUAUGAAUCCAUUAAUAUCUUAAUGAAAUAAAAAAAACGUUUCAAUAGUAAUGAAAAACAUUUCUAUUAAUUAAUAUUGCAUUAUGGUUUCAUUAACGUCACCAGAAAAACGUUUUUAAUAAAAAAACCGUUAUCUUUAUUAAAAAAAACAUUUCUGUCCAGGACCUUUUGCGGCGACGAACGCUGCCACUAAACCCAUAGAAGUCGCCGCUAAAAGUAUUAGUGGCGACUAUGU